rnacentral:lncRNA from 1 species
UUAAAACAAACGAUAAUAGUUUGAACGAGACAUCGAAACUCAGUUGGUAUCUUGAUCAUGUCCAAAUUUACGCCAAAUAUGUUCAACCAAAUCACCUUUCAGUUGUUGAUGUGCUUGUCUAUCACGAAUCCUUGUUCGAACACCCAUCUGAUUAGCGAUAUUUGUAGGGAUAUUGUUGAAUGUGAACUAUAACUUAGGCAUAUAUCAUUAGGAGAAUGAUGAGACGAGUCUUAGCUCUCACGGACUUAGUGUAUUAGACAAAUCUGGUUUUAGUUGAUUUCCGGUUUAAUGGGUCAAUGCCGGUUUGUUUUAAGAACCUAAAUGUUAGUCCGGUUAAGUGUACAUCCUCGGUGAUAUAUAAGAGGGUAAAUAGAGAGCUGAGAUGUUAUCGUUGUUCUUAUUCUUCUAGUGUCAGCAAGUUGUAUUGAGCUCAGGGUUGUUGAGCUUGAUUAUUGUUCUAGUGGAUUGCUGGAUUGAGGUCUGGCCCCAGUGAUUAGUUCUCCACAUCGGAGAGAUACACUGGGUAAACAAACCUGUGCGCCGUGUUCUUUAGCUCGUUUAGUUCUCUUGGUUCUUGAUAGAUCAAACGAGUGAGAGAGAGAGUGCGUUAAGAUCAAGAUACAAUCGCAAGAUUGAGUAACUUGACGCGUGAGAUCGGAGAUCAGGUUGUAACAAGUGGUAUCAGAGCCUCGCUGUUCGAGAUCGGGUUCGAGAUCGGGUACGAUGUCGAUGACGAAGACGAAGACGACGACUCGAGCGGAGGUGGAGCGAUUCGACGGAACCGGUGAUUUCUCGCUGUGGACUAUUAGGAUGAUGGCGCACUUCGGAGUCUCCGGAU